UCAAGAUGGUUGCAGUAGCGGACUUGCGUGAGACUUCCAGAUGUUCACUGUUGUUGACGACGUAUAUCCUCUGCGGUAAAUUGUUCGGUAUAAGGACGUAUUCAGCAGAACAUUACACAGUCAUCAGCGUUCAGCUGUGGCGCCAGAACAUCUGCUCCGUGUGAAAGUUUAUUUGUAUUUGCGAGGUGCAUUAAGACUAUGCAAGGAAUGCUUUUUGGCUAACAACCUCGUUCCGACGGACGGGAACGUUGCUCUAGCAAUUAUCAGGUGGUACAGAAGUACCUUCUUUCGCUAGCGUGCACGCCAGAGCGGCUUCAAAUAAAUGAAAUAAAAUAUGAAACAUUUCUA